rnacentral:lncRNA from 1 species
UCGCUACUCCACACCACCCAUUGUGCCGCCGCGUUCCACACGGGGACAACUCACUGCCACCACGGAUAACCAUCUGCAGUGGGGUUUGGCCCCCAUUGUGGUCACCGAGGCUCGGGCGGAUUGCAUAGAAGUCGUAGGAGGGAUUAAUCGAAAGGGACCUAGCUGAGUCCUUUGGAAUCCCUCGCUAGAGUUGGGAUUUCCGCCAUGCCCGCACCUCGCCGUGAAUAACCCAUGCACGACCUUGUCCUCGGUGAGUACUGAACCCAUGGAGAUCGCCUUCAUCUACUUACCACGUAGCACGUCUUAGAUUGGAGGGUACGGCCUGGGGUGUCGAGUUGGCCAUCCACGGCCAUGGUCGCCGCCGUGUUUGCGGGCGGCGGCGCCCGUGCGUCAUUGGUAUGGGGGAAAACCUGUGCGGGCCAUAGAAUCAUCAGUGAGCGGCUCUGAUUGAUCCUGGCAUAAUGAUUGGGCAGGGAGAGAAUCAGAACCGUUGUGAUCCGAUCGAACGGAUCGGGACAAUCCCGGUGCGAGUAAGGUCUGCGUCGUAGAUUUUGGAUCCAACGUAGGGGGGAAAAUAUCCUAUGCAAUCACUUAUCCUGGUGCAAGCAUGCAAUCAAGCGAUCUGGUGCAUCCGAUCUAGAUCUAAUGAUGACUGUUAUUUUAUAUUUAACCCCUUCCACCUAAAACAUAGUACCUAUUUUACUUUUAACCCCUUCCAUAUGAAACCGUUGGAUCUGGAUUGGAUGCUCUGGAUAGUUUGAUUGCAUGCUUGCACCAAAAUGAGUGAUUGCACAGGAUAUGUCCUCAACGUAGGGUAUUGUAUACCGGUUCAUUCACGUAUCAGUCUAAUCUGGCGCGUUGAACUCAGAUCGGAUGGACGAUCUGCAUCUGCCACUCUGUGACUGGCUCCGUUUUGCAGUUAAGUCCUUAGGGAAAAUGGAAACCAAUCUGCAGUCCCGAGCCGUUAUAAGAUGAUUACGUUGAGGCCCAGAAUUUUUACAGAAUACACCAUGCACUCCUCUGAUUUAAUGCGCGCAAUCCACACAUUUAAUGAAUUAGCUAAUUUAAUGAUUUUCCUGUAUAAAAAUAAUUUCAGGGACUUGUUUAAUUCAUAGAAAAUUCAUUUUAACUCCUUUUUAACCCAUUCCAGUUGCAUUAAUUUUGUAUUAAUAUUGUUUAUCACUUGGUAACUCUAUUUUAUCAUGAAACCUAGAAUAAAAUUAAUCACUUAAUUAUUUUUGUGCCAAACACAUAAAGACUUCGAAAAAUCAUAACUUGUUAAUCGUAACUCCGAAUUUAGUGAUUAUCGAACCUAUGAUCUCGUUACGAUGCGUAGAUUAUUAUCAUGCAUUGCAUUCCUCUGUUUGGUGUGAUGAUUAAUUCCCUUGUACCAUGUUUGUUUGUAUUGUGGCGAGUAGACGAGCAAGUGAUUGAGGACCCAGGUGUUUAGCAAGUAGAAGUUGUUGAGCGGGAGCUUAUUGAAGGCAAGUUGUGCCCUUGACCAUUUUUAUUUACCCAA